GGCUCGGUGGUGGAUGGUCCACACCUGAGUAAUAGAAGCUUCGCGGGAGACGCCUGUUCGAUUCGGGCCCGAGCCA